rnacentral:rRNA from 1 species
AGCGAACGCUGGCGGCAGGCUUAACACAUGCAAGUCGAACGGAUCCUUCGGGAUUAGUGGCGGACGGGUGAGUAACACGUGGGAACGUGCCUUUUGGUUCGGAACAACACAGGGAAACUUGUGCUAAUACCGGAUGUGCCCUUCGGGGGAAAGAUUUAUCGCCAUUAGAGCGGCCCGCGUCUGAUUAGCUAGUUGGUGAGGUAAAGGCUCACCAAGGCUACGAUCAGUAGCUGGCUGAGAGGAUGAUCAGCCACACUGGGACUGAGACACGGCCCAGACUCCUACGGGAGGCAGCAGGUGGGGAAUCUUGCGCAAUGGGGGAAACCCUGACGCAGCCAUGCCGCGUGAAUGAUGAAGGUCUUAGGAUU